UACGUAGGGUGCGAGCGUUGUCCGGAAUUAUUGGGCGUAAAGAGCUCGUAGGCGGUCUGUCGCGUCGGUCGUGAAAACUUGGGGCUUAACCCUGAGCUUGCGGUCGAUACGGGCAUGACUGGAGUUCGGCAGGGGAGACUGGAAUUCCUGGUGUAGCGGUGAAAUGCGCAGAUAUCAGGAGGAACACCGGUGGCGAAGGCGGGUCUCUGGGCCGCAACUGACGCUGAGGAGCGAAAGCAUGGGGAGCGAACAGG
rnacentral:rRNA from 1 species